AGAGUUUGAUCCUGGCUCAGGAUGAACGCUAGCGGCAGGCCUAAUACAUGCAAGUCGGACGGUAGCCGACCCUUCGGGGCCGGCGAGAGUGGCGGACGGGUGCGUAACGCGUAUGCAACCAACCCCCCACAGCGGGACAGCCGGUGGAAACGCCGGGCAAUCCCGCAUGCCGCCGUGUCGGGGCAUCCCGGCAUGGCGAAAGGCUACGGCCGGUGGGGGACGGGCAUGCGUGCCAUUAGCUGGUUGGCGGGGCGACGGCCCACCAAGGCGACGAUGGCUAGGGGAUCUGAGAGGACGGUCCCCCACACUGGUACUGAGACACGGACCAGACUCCUGCGGGAGGCAGCAGUAAGGGAUAUUGGGCAAUGGGGGGAACCCUGACCCAGCCAUGCCGCGUGAGGGAAUGGGGCCCUACGGGUCGUGAACCUCUUUUGCCGGGGGACAACGGCGGCGUCGAGAACGCCGCGUGCGGGUACCCGGCGAAUAAGCGUCGGCUAACUCCGUGCCAGCAGCCGCGGUAAUACGGAGGACGCGAGCGUUAUCCGGAUUCAUUGGGUUUAAAGGGUGCGCAGGCGGCCUGCCAAGUCAGCGGUGAAAGCCCGGGGCCCAACCCCGGAAGUGCCGUUGAUACUGUCGGGCUGGAAUGCGGUCGAGGCGGGCGGAACGUGGCGUGUAGCGGUGAAAUGCGUAGAUAUGCCACAGAACGCCGAUAGCGGAGGCAGCUCGCCAGGCCUGCAUUGACGCUCGGGCACGAAAGCGUGGGGAUCGAACAGAAUUAGAUACCCUGGUAGUCCACGCCGU
rnacentral:rRNA from 1 species